UCAGAGAGCUAUGUAGUUGCUUUUUAAAGAGGAAAGUCCGGGCUCUAUAGAAAUAAGGUGCUGGAUAACCUCCAGCAGGGGCAACCCUAGGGAAAGUGCCACAGAAAAUAUACCGCCAAUUUUUGGUAAGGGUGAAAUGGUGUGGUAAGAGCGCACCGUGUUCCUAGCAAUAGGGAUAGCUUGGUAAACCCCACCUGGAGCAAGACCAAAUAGUAGAAACAAUUAUUGAAUUUCUACAAAGUUUCUUGGGUAGGUCGC
rnacentral:RNase_P_RNA from 1 species